rnacentral:rRNA from 1 species
GAAAGCUAGUUGUAUUAAUUAUGUCUUUAGUUAAAUGCAGCAUCGACUAUGUCGAAUAAAGUUCUAGGAAGAGUUAUGAUAAUGACAUUUUCUACCUAUGUGUCUUGACCAAAUCACGUGCCAGCAGUCGCGGUAAUACGUGGAAGACUAGUGUUAUUCAUCUUUAAUAGGUUUAAAGGGUACUUAGACGGUAAAUUAAGCCCAGAUAAAAAUAAAGGGUACUAAUUAUACUAGAGUUUAAAUGAGAGGGGGGGUGUAGUAGUGGUGUAGAGAUGAAAUUCUGUCAUACCAGGAUGACAGGCAACGGCGCAAGCAACCUUUUAUGUGUAGACUGACGUUAAAGGACGAAGGCUUUGUAUCACCAACAGGAUUAGGUACCCAAGCAGUCUUAGCAGACAAUUCUGAAUGCCAUAGAUAAGAAAAGAUUCUUUUCUCUCUAUCUCUAUUAAUAAAAAGAGAUAGAUGUUAUUUUGUCUAUAAAUGAAAGUGUAAGCAUUCCACCUCAAGAGUAAUGUGGCAACGCAUAAACUGAAAUCAUUAGACCGUUUCUGAAACCAGUAGUGAAGUAUGUUGUUUAAUUUGAUGGUCCGCACAAAACCUCACCACAAUUUGUAUAUUAUUAUCUUAAUACAGGAGUUGCACGGCUGUCUUCAGUUAAUGUCGUGAGAUUUUGGUUAGUUCCAUUAAAUUAACGUAAACCCUUACUUUAUUUAUGUUAUAAAGUAGUUCGCCGCUAUAUUGGAUAUG